AUGCUUUCUAUCAGUCAAAAGCGGAUAUCGCCCCCCCUCAUGCUCCCACAGUCCGCUUACCGAGGAAUAGAAAGGGAGGACCAGGGGCCAGAGCAAGUUGGGUUAGGUUAUAGAGCCGUAAGCGCGGUGGGGGGGUUACAGAGGACGUGCUCGUACGGUUCAAAGAAGGCGCGUUUGGAUCCGCGAAGGCAAUCGCUCGGAUGUUCCCCUAACCCAACCCGGGAACGGACCGAAGGGAACCGCAGCAUGGGGGAUGUUCGCGUCUCGUCGCAAGGCUCAUUUUUAGUUUUUGGUUUAAGGGCGGAUUUAUCUGAUCAAGGGCCGGGGCACAAGGGUCCUGGUACUAUCCAGGUGCGAAGAACCCCGGAGGUGACUGCAAUGAGCGGAAAUCUAACUAACCGGCCUAAACGACGAGCAAACACUCGAAUGUGA